rnacentral:rRNA from 1 species
UAGGGAAUCUUCCACAAUGGACGAAAGUCUGAUGGAGCAACGCCGCGUGAGUGAAGAAGGGCUUCGGCUCGUAAAACUCUGUUGUUAAAGAAGAACAUAUCUGAGAGUAACUGUUCAGGUAUUGACGGUAUUUAACCAGAAAGCCACGGCUAACUACGUGCAAG